AUGACCGUAGGGGAUCCUUCCUUAGCGGGUCGGAGCCCAAAGGAACGCAGAGUGGGAGCAGCAGGGGCAUUCUGUUCCCCCUGUCCCGCAGCCCCCAAGCAGCAGGGUCUGAACUGGUGGUUCUCUUUAGCCGUGAGCCCUCAGUUGGUGUCAGCCCGGUGCCAGGCACCCCUAGCUCAUGUUCCCCCCGCGCCCAGCCGGGAAGUGGCCAAACUCAGCAAUAAAUCAAUCCACUGCCACAUCGCUCCCUUCGAUCGAGCAAACACUGCGAUCAGUCCGGUCACUUCUCCUCCCACCCCACCCGCUCUGAGACUGACGCUGCUUCACGGGCUGGGGAUACGGACCCGAGGUGGAGAUGUACGGUUAAAGAGCCGCUGGAGCGAGCCCCGAGUUCCCGGGGGAGAAGGAAGGUUGGCCUGUGGAGAGGCAGCCAGCAGGUAUUUCGGUGACCGUCCCUUUGAACACGUUCAGUUUCUGCCUUUUCCAUCCGGAACGUCUUCCUCAGACCAACUGUGAUUUCUGCCGUAAUUCUUGUGUGUGUUUACGAUCGCUUCGGAGGAGAUGGUUGCCGCAGUGUGUGGCAAGUGCUUCUUCGAGAAAUCCAUCAGCCCUUCUACGGUGACUCCGAGGGAAGGGUGCUGCCAGCACUUUCGCGCAUUCCCAGGUGUUGCGAGGAGGAGAGAAGCGAGGGGCCGGAGCGCUUCAUGGGGGGUGGAAGGGGCGGGGGGGUGAAGGGGCACCUGGGGAGGGGAACCCGCCCAGUGCGUGUGGGACCGCGUGCCGGUCAGGGCUGGGGAACGCGCCCCUUCUGCCAUAAUUAGUCGGAACAAUAAACAUAAUUGGAAUAAAAUCGGUUGGAAAUUC
rnacentral:lncRNA from 1 species